rnacentral:lncRNA from 1 species
CAUGUAGACAUAAGUUGUCAAACAUCUUAAAACCUAUAACUUGAUUAUCAUCCCUUAUGGGAAGUCCCUGUAGCAAGUUUUUACUACCAUACUGGCUCAACAUAUUGUAAUUCAUACACUAUCAAGAUCUCUGAAAAAUCAUUGUUCAUCUCUGUGUGACUAGGAGUAUGAAAUACCCUUUCUUUUAUGGACCUUUGUCCCAUAAAUGUUAAUGCACCCAUGAAACUGAUCUGAUGUCUUUUAAUUUUAUUUUUGAAAUCUGGUACUGAAUCCCUAGAUUAUACUAUCAGGACAAUGUCAUUGAAGAACAGCUCUGGGCAAAAAUAUGAAGUAUGAAGCUUAUUUCCUUCCCAUUAGAUUUAUCUGUGCUGUCCUGAUAAACUUCCCAUGCCUAUCACAAUAACCAAAAAUAAACUUCUUAAUCAUUAAGUAGCAGAUUACUUCAGAAAGAUCUUAAAAGUUAAAAAUGUUUAAACGCCAACUAGAAUUUUAGGAAAUAUUUCUAAACCUAUUUGGCUUGGAAAGGCUGUGUUAAAAAUGAAUCUGAAGUUGCCAUUGCUAAAAGAAAUGUAGUGUUUUAGUCAAAUCUAGUACCUUGAGACAGGCAGAAG